UACGUAGGGUGCGAGCGUUGUCCGGAAUUAUUGGGCGUAAAGAGCUUGUAGGCGGUUUGUCGCGUCUGCUGUGAAAAUUCAGGGCUUAACCCUGGACGUGCAGUGGGUACGGGCAGACUAGAGUAUGGUAGGGGAGACUGGAAUUCCUGGUGUAGCGGUGGAAUGCGCAGAUAUCAGGAGGAACACCGAUGGCGAAGGCAGGUCUCUGGGCCAUUACUGACGCUGAGAAGCGAAAGCAUGGGGAGCGAACAGG
rnacentral:rRNA from 2 species